rnacentral:rRNA from 1 species
GACGUAGGGCGCGAGCGUUGUCCGGAUUUAUUGGGCGUAAAGAGCUCGUAGGCGGCUUGUCGCGUCGACUGUGAAAACCCGUGGCUCAACCACGUGGUCUGCAGUCGAUACGGGCAGGCUAGAAUUCGGUAGGGGAGACUGGAAUUCCUGGUGUAGCGGUGAAAUGCGCAGAUAUCAGGAGGAACACCUGCGGCGAAGGCGGGUUGCUGGGCCGACACUGACGCUGAUGCGCGAAAGCCAGGGGAGCGAACGGG